UCGAUGGAGAGUUUGAUCCUGGCUCAGGACGAACGCUGGCGGCGUGCCUAACACAUGCAAGUCGAACGAGGUCCAUCCGGUGGCAACACCGGUGAAGACCUAGUGGCGAACGGGUGAGUAACACGUGAGCAACCUGCCCCGAAGACCGGGAUAACACCGGGAAACCGAUGCUAAUACCGGAUACCCCCACCAGAUCGCAUGGUCAGGUGAGGAAAUGGACUCCGCUUCGGGAGGGGCUCGCGGCCUAUCAGCUAGUUGGUGGGGUAACGGCCUACCAAGGCGCCGACGGGUAGCUGGUCUGAGAGGACGAUCAGCCACACUGGGACUGAGACACGGCCCAGACUCCUACGGGAGGCAGCAGUGGGGAAUCUUGCGCAAUGGGCGAAAGCCUGACGCAGCAACGCCGCGUG
rnacentral:rRNA from 1 species